CCCAGUGUUACAGCCCUGUCCCCGGUGGCAGCGCCUGCGGAGUCCCAGGUCGGGGGAGCGGGACCUCAAAUCAGACUUGGCAACCCGCUGAAUCUAAGCCUAUUAGGCAGGGGAGGAAAAGAAACUAACCAGGAUUCCCCCAGUAACAGUGAAGAGCGCAGUGCUAAAUCCCCGCUGAGCAGCGCUGUGCGCAGAGGGCUUAGGGAAAUGCGGCCAGAGUCUUCCCAGAGUCAGGUUGCUUGGAAAUGCAGCUCAACCCCAGGAGAGACUUCUGUGCAGCAGGCAGCUCUUAAAGGGACAACAGCAACUUCUCAGCUGUAAUUUCAAGAUGUUCCUCCCUUGGGGUUGCAGCCGGAGGAAGUGAAGUUUUGUCUGUUUUGAAUAUGGUCGGAGCCAUUCUCAACAACAAAUGGCGUGAGCCCACGGAGAAACAAGUCUCCAGCCAGGUUUGCAAAAAAGGAGGUGUGGAGCUCUGUUUACGUCUCUGAGAAGAUUUGGGCAUGAUGACAGAUGACUUCAACUCUGGAUUAUGGUAUACUAACCACUGGAUAAGACUGCCCCAACUGGCCCACCGCUAGGGCCCAGCCUAAACUAAAGUACACAAAGCUGUGGACACCUGGAGAGUCAUUGUUUCACAUUGCUGAAGGCAAGGUGAGAUCAGUCUCUCAUGUUCUUUUUCCACAGAAAUAGUCUCUCACCUUCUGUGCCUGAUGGCCAGAUUGCCUCUGCUCAUGAUGCCAUGAGACCAUAGGAGCCAGGGACAACUGCCUAGGUGGUGGACUGGAUAGUCAUCUCUGUCAUUUUGAUUGGUACAUAGAUUGGUACAUAUAUUUAGCUUAUAAUUUAUCCUUCUCAGGUCUCUGAUCACAUUGAUGGCUAAGCUAAGCUAAUGGUAGCUUUUCAGCUAAAGAGCAGACAGUUAGAUCCACUGUUAGUUCGUUGGUCAACUCAUUAGCUAGUAAGAACUACUAGAUACUAGAUCUUUUAUUGAGAAAGGCAAAGAGGUUUGUCUUGCUCACAGGCUUCAUGUUAAUUGCCUGUGUCUUAUGGUGAAUAAUUGGAUAGAAAGAUGUAAAGUUUAUGUAAGGUCUGAGGAUAUGAAAGUUUAAGCUUUGAAGAUCUAAAAAAAGUUGCGAGUCUAGGAAACUGUUUCAAUGUUGGUAAAUGCAAGAAAGAUUGGAGGAUCUAAGUAGGUAUUUUAAGGUAUAUGAAUGUAAGUUGUAAUGUAUAAGAAAAUAAUUUAAGGCAUAUUAAAAAUGGAAAAUAUUUCAGAUUACUCCCCCUCUAUGCUAUUGGUAUGCUUAUGUUGUUAUAAGAUUUCAGAAGUUCAGAGUUACAACAUUGAUCAAUAGAAUUCUGAUAAGCUGAUGGAGCGCUGACUGCUUAUUAUCCAUCACAAGUUCAAGAUUUUAACUUCCCUUUGGUUGUCUUCUGGAGAUAGACUUAAAGGUGCUUCUGAUCAUGCUAAAAAUAUCUGUCUAAUGUGUUUAUCUCUGACUCAAAAGCCAUAGCUUUUACUAGUUCUUAAUGGCAUGAGUCUACUCCUGCUGUCUUGUAGACAACUGUUUACUGCUUUUUUUAAAGUAUAGAUCUUAAUAUAAUAGUGAUACUAAUAUACUUCCUUUUGUAAAUUAAAAUUCAUAUGAGUUUCAGGAAAUCAAAAAGUCAUGAGACCUGGAUCUGGCACAGCUAAAACGGACCCCAGAUGAGUUUUUCCCUUGGUCUUGGGAUUUCUCACUUUCCCCAUUUACUAGAUUGUUGUAUUAGGCCAUAAAUAUUUACUAUUGAUAUAUCUUUUAGUAAAGCUGUGGUUAAUCCUAAACAGAUGUAUAACCAAAUCACUACACAGAGACUAGGAUUUAUUUAAUUAACCUAGAGCACAAUGCUGGGCAAUAGUUACUCCAUUCUAAACUCUUAGCCCACAUAGUUCCUACCAUUCAGAUUCACCCAUUUUACUUGCUUUUAGUGAUAUCUUAGCUCCGGUUCAUUUUUCCUCAUUGUUCCAAGACCUCUCUUCCAGCUUCUGCUCUCUCUGCUUCUCCCUCUCGAUUCUCCUCCUCCUCUGCCUCCCACUCCUUCCUGUUCUCUUUCUUCCUCUCUUCCCACUCUGAACCAGGAUGUCCCACCCUAUCCUCUCCAUUGUUCAACAUUGUACCUGGUUGAUUUAAUUGACAUUUUAGAGACCGAAUGGUGGCAUGUUUAUGCAAACUUGAGACAGGUGAUGCUUAGAAUAAGUGUCACAAUGCAAUGUCUGGAUUAAAACCAGAUAGUUGGGGAGAGAAAUCAGCAUUUGAGUGAACAAGGGUAAGGUGUAUACAUUUCCAAAGAGCAUUGUACCAAUACUAGAUAAAUUUUAACUUCUGCUUCUAGUCUGAAUUUGUUUUAUCAGAUUUUCACCUGGCUGACAGACUGCCUUCAGGGAUCAGCUAUGCACUGCAAGCUGAAAUCUGGACUUGCCGAAAGCUGAAGUAAUCCAGUCCAGUGGAUGUGAUGGCUCCUCGUCUCUUCAACAGGAUUGCUAAUUAGAUAGUGCCUGGUUGCCUACCUUUUAACUAACCUUUCAGCCUUCUUGAGUCCCCAAUAUCUCUGCCCCAAUAUCAGCCUGAAGAAAUUAUAGAAGAGAGAUUCAUCGGCCUUUAUCCUACCUAGAAGGCUGAAAUUCCAAGUCAAAAGGGACUUCCUGACAUUAGCUAUUAUCUUGGGGACCUGCUUAGCUGGAGCAGGAACUCGUAUUGCAACACUGGCUUUACAAAGCUGGAAUUAUAACAGAUGAAAGGCAGAUAUCGAUAAAAAUAUUCACUGCCUUGAGAACUCAAUACUCAGCUAUCACAUUUCUAAGGAGCCUAAGAUUGGCCUCCAUAGUCAGUAGAAAAGGGGGGAAAUAAAGGGACUCAAGAUAACAGGGCUAACUCCAUUCUGUUUCUCAGACUCUAUCUUAAGUUGACUGUCUAAGCUUUGAGUGACUUGGCCCCCACCGUCGGGUUCCAAGAAAAACCACCUGGCCCUCUGCCCCACAGGUUGUCCUAGAUACUACAGAAAUGUGUUAAUAGAUAACUGCAAUCAGGCCUCCACCCCACAGGCUGUCGGUUGUCUUAAGUACUACAGAAUGUGUUGAUAACUGCAAUCAGGACCAGAGGUUUCUACAGAUAUCCUACUGUUUGGCCAGGUGGCCAGGCCCAAUCAGUUUAAAGGUCACCUUGCUUGCUGAGCCCUUCCCCAAUUUUACCUAAUCCUGUUGGAAUUCCCCAUUUGCAGUUUUUCCCUCUAAAAACUCUGCCCUCCCUUGGCUCCAGGAUGCUCUUUAUGAACUGCUGUAGCAGGGAUGGUUGACAGCCCAAGCCUGAGCCCGAAUAAAGACCCUUGUGUGUUUGCAUCAGACUUGUGUUCCUGAUGGUCUCUUUGGGGGUCUUGUGAUCUGGGCAUCAUAGAUUUAAGAAUGCAUCAAAUGGAAGCUAAAAGAUGAUUUUCUUAUAGUUUAAGAGAGAAAUACCCCAGACAAGCAAACUGUAAAGAUGAGCAGCUUCUCAAAAGAGGAGAAUAUGUAAGCCCAGAGAAUGAGCCCUGGACUUGAGUUAAGCUGAUACAAUUUAGGCACUCAGUGGCAGACAACCCCAUGGUGGAGAGUGGGGCUUAAAGAAUGCUAAGCAUGUUUAGAGCAGAGAUGGAAAUAAAAGUAAUUUGGAGCAUCAUGACUAUGCUCUGCAAAUCUUAUGCUGGAGGAAGGAAAUUGUAAACAUACAGUUUUCCAUCAAAUUGAUAGCUUUUCUGAACCUCUCUUUAGCAUGGUUCAAGUUUAACCUGCAUUUCUAGGAGAGGCCCUUCCUUUUUGAGGCACAACCCACUUAAAAGUUGAGCUUCUUAUCAGGCCAGAGAUUCUACUUCCUUGGAUAGAAGAAAAUUUCUUUUAAUGAACUUGAAUGUCCCUCAAAAUCUAACCAACUGAAGACGCAAUCCUAAAGUCGUUCAGAAACCACACCAGGGUUAGAGAGGACAAUCACUUCUGGUAUCUCCACCCUCUGGAGAUAAUUCUGCAGAGAGGCCAAAGAACAUUUCCGGCUUUCAGCCAAUCAGUGAAAUGCUUACUUUUCUUUGGUGACUUUGUAACCUAAAGUACAUAGCCAAUAGGUGCUCCUUGUUUUCAUCUGUGCCCACUCUGAAGAGGUAACCCCAACUUCAAUAUGUUAUUGGGGAGAUGGUUUGCCCAGCUUCUUGUAACUUACCUGGCUUCUUAGGUUUGACACUGGGUGUGACAGUAGAGGAACUCUUCCAGAUAGGCAUGCCUGAUAAAUCUGUGUAUACCAGGCAGGAUCCUAUCUCAAGUAGAUCUGCCUCCCUCUGCCUCCUGAGUGUUGGGGUGCAGUGGUUCUCAAUCAGAUCAAUAUAGUUAUGAAGUAAAAAUGGAAUGAGUUUUUGUUGGGGGUCACAACUACAUGAGAGUUGCAGUUUUAGGAAGGGUUUGGCGCCACCACAUCCACGUCUUCCGUGGCUGUUUUAAAUACAGUGUCAUUCUUUCCAACACAGUAAAUAGCUAAUAAAACCCAAUGCUCACUUAAGCUGAAAUGUUCAGAUAUACAGCGUGGUCUUCACGUGGGUCCCCUGACAACUGGAGCAGGGGCUGUCUCUGACUGCUGCUUGCCUUUGGAUCCUUUCCCCCUAUCUGGGCUGCCUGGUCUAGCAGCAACAGGAGAAGAUGCACCUAGUCUUACUGCAACUUAAUAAGCCAACUAACUUAAUAAGGCUUAGUUGAUAGCCAUGGGAGGGCUCCCCUUCUCUGAGGAGAAAGGGAGAAAGGGAGGAGGCUAGAGGGAGAGGCUGGGAGGAAACCUAACGAACUGCUAAUAAACGGCUCAUAAAGGGUUUGGUACAAUUAGCCAUGGGGAAAUAGAAGGGGUAAUACAAACGAAAACUAUUAGAGGAUUCAUUUUACUCCAAUCAGAAUGGCUGUCAGCAGAUCUCAAAGGAUGGCGGAUGCAGGCAAGGCUGUGGGGAAAUAGCAAUGUUUAAUCACGGGUGCUGGGGGUAAGCAGUGAUAUACACAGCAUGAAAAUUAUGGCGGAGAUUCCCCCAAAAUCUCAAAAUAGAAUUAUCAUACGAAUGAGCUAUAUUAUUUCUUCACAGGUACCCAACAGACUCUACAACCUACUGCAGAGACACUUCCUGAUCCUGUUCUAUUCACAAUAACCAGAAAAUGAAAUCAGCCUAGAUGUCCAUGAACUGACGAAUGGAUAAUAAAAAUGUGAACCAUA